rnacentral:rRNA from 1 species
AUUGAACGCUGGCGGCAGGCCUAACACAUGCAAGUCGAACGAGUGGCGGACGGGUGAGUAAUGUCUGGGAAACUGCCUGGUAGUGGGGGAUAACGUCCGGAAACGGGCGCUAAUAUCGCAUACUAUCAGAUGAGCCUAGGUCGGAUGCGCUAGUUGGUGGGGUAAAGGCCUACCAAGGCGACGAUCCGUAACUGGUCUGAGAGGAUGAUCAGUCACACUGGAACUGAGACACGGUCCAGACUCCUACGGAGGGCAGCAGUGGGGAAUAUUGCACAAUGGGCGCAGUCCUGAUGCAGCCAUGCCGCGUGUAUGAAGAAGGCCUUCGGGUUGUAAAGUACUUUCAGCGAGGAGGCGUUACUCGCAGAAGAAGCACCGGCUAACUCCGUGCCAGCAGCCGCGGUAAUUC